CCUACGGGAGGCAGCAGUGGGGAAUUUUGGACAAUGGGGGCAACCCUGAUCCAGCAAUGCCGCGUGAGUGAAGAAGGCCUUCGGGUUGUAAAGCUCUUUUGUGGAAAGCCCGGUACCUGAAGAAUAAGCACCGGCUAACUACGUGCCAGCAGCCGCGGUAAUACGUAGGGUGCAAGCGUUAAUCGGAAUUACUGGGCGUAAAGCGUGCGCAGGCGGUUUUGUAAGACUGUCGUGAAAUCCCCGGGCUCAACCUGGGAAUGGCGAUGGUGACUGCAAGGCUAGAGUUUGGCAGAGGGGGGUAGAAUUCCACGUGUAGCAGUGAAAUGCGUAGAUAUGUGGAGGAACACCGAUGGCGAAGGCAGCCCCCUGGGUCAACUGACGCUCAUGCACGAAAGCGUGGGGAGCAAACAGGAUUAGAUACCCUUGUAGUC
rnacentral:rRNA from 1 species